UAGGGAAUAUUGGUAAUGGGCGAAAGCCUGAACCAGCAACGCCGCGUGUGCGAUGACGGCCUUCGGGUUGUAAAGCACUUUUUUCCGGGACGAGGAAGGACGGUACCGGAAGAAUAAGCCUCGGCUAACUACGUGCCAGCAGCCGCGGUAAAACGUAGGAGGCGAGCGUUAUCCGGAUUUACUGGGUGUAAAGCGCGUGCAGGCGGCUCGAUAAGUUGGAUGUGAAAGCUCCUGGCUCAACUGGGAGAGGUCGUUCAAGACUGUCGGGCUUGAGGAUGGUAGGGGAAGGUGGAAUUCCGGGUGUAGUGGUGAAAUGCGUAGAUAUCCGGAGGAACACCAGUGGCGAAGGCGGCCUUCUGGACCAUUACUGACGCUCAGACGCGAAAGCUAGGGUAGCAAACGGG
rnacentral:rRNA from 1 species